AGUGAACGCUGGCGGCGUGCCUAAUACAUGCAAGUCGAACGGAGUGGCGCACGGGUGAGUAAUGUAUAGCUAAACUCCUCUACACUAUAGGACAACAGUUGGAAAAGACUGCUAAUACUCUCAAGUGUAGGUUGAGGCGCUAUUGUAUCAGCUAGUUGGUGAGGUAAUGGCUCACCAAGGCUAUGACGCGUAACUGGUCAGAGGGGAUGAGCAGUCACACUGGAAGUGAGACACGAGUCAGGCUCCUACGGGAGGGGGCAGUAGGGUAAAUUGGUCAAUGGGGGAGACCCUGGAGCAGCAACGCCGCGUGAAGGAUGACACUUUUCGGAGCGUAAACUCCUUUUGUUAGGGAAGCGGUACCUAACGAAUAAGCACCGGCUAACUCCGUGCCAGCAGCCGCGGUAAUAC
rnacentral:rRNA from 1 species